UGCGAGUCGAACGGCAGCACGGGGGUAACCCUGGUGGCGAGUGGCGAACGGGUGAGUAAUACAUCGGAACGUGUCCUGUAGUGGGGGAUAGCCCGGCGAAAGCCGGAUUAAUACCGCAUACGCUCGAGAGAGGAAAGUGGGGGAUCUUCGGACCUCACGCUAAAGGGGCGGCCGAUGGCAGAUUAGCUAGUUGGUGGGGUAAAGGCCUACCAAGGCGACGAUCUGUAGCUGGUCUGAGAGGACGACCAGCCACACUGGGACUGAGACACGGCCCAGACUCCUACGGGAGGCAGCAGUGGGGAAUUUUGGACAAUGGGGGCAACCCUGAUCCAGCAAUGCCGCGUGUGUGAAGAAGGCCUUCGGGUUGUAAAGCACUUUUGUCAGGGAAGAAAAGGGCGUCCCUAAUAUGGAAGCCUAAUGACGGUACCUGAAGAAUAAGCACCGGCUAACUACGUGCCAGCAGCCGCGGUAAUACGUAGGGUGCAAGCGUUAAUCGGAAUUACUGGGCGUAAAGCGUGCGCAGGCGGUUAUAUAAGUCAGAUGUGAAAUCCCCGGGCUCAACCUGAGAACUGCAUUUGAGACUGCACGGCUAGAGUGUGUCAGAGGGGGGUAGAAUUCCACGUGUAGCAGUGAAAUGCGUAGAUAUGUGGAGGAAUACCGAUGGCGAAGGCAGCCCCCUGGGAUAACACUGACGCUCAUGCACGAAAGCGUGGGGGAGCAAACAGGAUUAGAUACCCUGGUAGUCCACGCCCUAAACGAUGAACACUCGAUGUUGGCGAUAUAC
rnacentral:rRNA from 1 species